rnacentral:piRNA from 1 species
UGUAUUCUUGGCCAACCUCAAUCUCGCUA